AUUCUGUUAACUAAUGGAGCUAGAACUAAUGUUGUGUCUAAAUAUUUUGGUACUCCACUACACUGUGCUAUUGAAACUGGUAAUGCUAAUAUUAUCAAAUUAUUAAUAACUAAAGGAAAAGCUGAUGUGAAUGCUGUGAAUAAGGACAACAGAACUCCAUUGUUUAAUGCUGUUGAGAGUGGU
rnacentral:lncRNA from 1 species